rnacentral:tRNA from 1 species
CUGCGGGCGCGCAGCGCGGCGAGCUGCCGGUCGUUCAGGCCCGCCGCGUCGAUGCCGUCGAUCUUCACGACGCCCUCGGUC